GCAAGCCUGGCUAAUAACUCUCAGUGUGUUGUGGAGAAAGCACAGUCAGAAGAACCAGUACAUUAGCUAAGCAGAGUCUGUAGUUUGGAAAAUAACGGAUGCAAUACAUGCAGUAAGUUGUUCCUUACAGAGAACUAGUGCAACAUGUUACAACAACAUUUUCAGAACUGCCCUGAUAAGAUGCAGCAUAAAGAUGCUUCUGUAAUUCUCAGACAAGAUGACCUUCAAAGUCAGGUUUUAAUAAAAGUCCCAGCACCAUCACCAUCAGAAAAGAAACCGUACGAAUGGAUGGAAUUAUUCUGAUUGCAACAAGCUUCACGGUACUGCCUGCAACUAUCCUCAGUUCAGAGCUGUGGCUGAAACAGAUGCAUGUUGCCAGAGUCAUUUCAGUUUGGCUCCUCAAAAUAAGCAGACACUGGAAUUAACAUGUCUGGACUCUAGAUGUAAACCAGAAAUAACAACAUAACCUUGCAAAGAAAUGCUGUAAAUUUGCUCAUUAAAGUUUGCAAAGCAAUUAGAUGAAUAUUAUAGAAGACUGCGCUGCUUAAUGAAGAUCAUUAAAGAAAAGCCUUUGUACACAUAACACAGGAAUCCAUGACAUGGGCUGCCAAACCGUAAUUGUUAUUCUU